GUCCCUGUAGCGCAGUGGAUAGCGCGUUGGACUUCUAAUCCAAAGGCCCCGGGUUCGAGUCCCGGCAGGGAUG
rfam:Stegodyphus mimosarum contig102848, whole genome shotgun sequence.